rnacentral:rRNA from 1 species
UACGUAGGGGGCGAGCGUUGUCCGGAUUUAUUGGGCGUAAAGAGCGUGUAGGCGGUUCGGUAAGUCUGUCGUGAAAUCCUGAGGCUCAACCUUGGACGUGCGAUGGAUACUGCCGGGCUAGAGGACUGGAGAGGAGACUGGAAUUUACGGUGUAGCGGUGAAAUGCGCAGAUAUCAGGAAGAACACCAAUGGCGAAGGCAGCUCUCUGGGACGGUACUGACGCUGAGACGCGAAAGCGUGGGGAGCGAACAGG